rnacentral:tRNA from 1 species
GCCUGGGUGGCUCAGUCAGUUAAGCAUCUGACUUCGGCUCAGGUCAUGAUCUCACGAUUCGUGGGUUUGAGCCCCGCAUUGGGCU